rnacentral:rRNA from 1 species
UACAGAGGGGGCAAGCGUUAUUCGGAAUUAUUGGGCGUAAAGGGCGCGUAGGCGGCCAUUCAAGUGACGGGUGAAAGCCCUCGGCUUAACCGAGGAACUGCCUGUCAGACUGGAUGGCUUGAGACCGGGAGAGGUGAGUGGAAUUCCCAGUGUAGAGGUGAAAUUCGUAGAUAUUAGGAAGAACACCAGUGGCGAAGGCGGCUCACUGGCCCGGUACUGACGCUGAGGCGCGAAAGCGUGGGGAGCAAACAGG